rnacentral:lncRNA from 1 species
GCUUCCCAAGCAAGUGCCUGCCUCUCUCUCUUAUCUCCCAACAAAGCUCCAAGAGGCACGGCCUGAAGCCAGCGAUGUUAAACAAUGACGCAUGGCUGAUUUUAUUUGUAACAAGGAUUCUCAUCUCAAUCUAAGGACACAAGGAACUGAUACUUCAAGUAAGAGCUGGUGAUGUAGUGGUGAGCACUUUCAACAAAGGUUCUGUGGUGGUUGACUGUUCAGCAUUUCCAUCAUCUGUCCUGUGCUGGUUGCUUUUUUUUUUUUUUUUAAUAUUUGGAACCUGUGUUGCUCAACCCAUUUCUACAUUCUCCAAGUCUGGACAUGCAUGAUAUUCACGCUGGCCUGAGGGGAAGACUGCCUCUUGAUAUUGGGGUCUCCUGGAGCACCUUACCACCAACACGUGAGAAAAUGCCCAAGACCCAUCCAUCAAAGUCUCACUGCAGUAAAAGUGUAACUGACAAGAAAAUUAGUCAUUCUGCAAAUUUCAGUUCUUGAGAAAGUGCUGUCAAAUCAGGUGAGAAAUGACUCAACAGGCUACUUGGCUGAUGAAACCCAUCGGAGAAAAAAGGGAUCAGUUGGAAUGAUUGAUGUCUGAGAGUUCUGGGUGUUCCUGCCAAUGGCUUGAUUUCUGGGAGGAAGGAGUCAGCGACAUUUGGAUGGUUUCCCUUUCACAGGCUUCACUCAUCCCAAAGAUCUAUGGUAGAAGCUAAACAUGUACUUUAGACUGUAAUCACAGCAGUGACCACUGGGACUCAUCUGUUGACAUUUCAUAUUCAUGAAGUGUUGACUAAGAGGAAGACAAUUAGAGAUGUUCAGCACCUGAAAAUGCCUUGAGUCCAGUUUAUGGCAAAGCCUCAAAGAGGAGAUGAUUAAAUAGGAAUACAUGUGGACUUCUAGCUCUAUCAUCAGCUUGCUACGUGAAAAAUUAUUAAAUAAAAUACACUCUAAGUAUUAUCUA